GGUUUGAUCCUGGCUCAGAUUGAACGCUGGCGGGAUGCUUACACAUGCAAGUCGAACGGGCAGCACGGACUUCGGUCUGGUGGCGAGUGGCGAACGCGGAGUAAAUGUAUCGGAACGUGCCUAGUAGCGGGGAUAACUACGCGAAAGCGUAGCUACUGGCCGCAUACGCCCUUCGGGGGAAAGCGGGGGACCUUCGGGCCUCGCACUAUUAGAGCGGCCGAUAUCGGACGAAGAAGUAGGGGUAACGGCUCACCAAGGCGACGAUCCGUAGCUGGUUUGAGAGGACGACCAGCCACACUGGGACUGAGACACUGGCCCAGACUCCUACGGGAGGCAGCAGUGGGGAAUUUUGGACAAUGGGGGAAACCCUGAUCCAGCCAUCCCGCGUGUGCGAUGAAUGCUCUCGGGUUGUAAAGCACUUUUGGCAGGAAAGAAACGGCACGGAUAAUACCCCGUGCAACUGACGGUACUCUGCAGAAUAAGCACCGGCUAACUGCUGCGCCAGCAGCUGCGGUAAUACGUAGGGUGCAAGCGUUAAUCGGAAUUACUGGGCGUAAAGCGUGCGGCAGGCGGUUCGAAAGAAAGUGAUGAAAUCCAGAGCUUAACUUUGAACUGCAUUUUUAACUACCGAGCCAGAUAAAGCCAGAGGGAGGUGGAAUUCCGCGUAGCAGUGAAAUGCGUAGAUAUGCGAGGAACACCGAUGGCGAAGGCAGCCUCCUGGGAUAACACUGACGCUCAUGCACGAAAGCGUGGGGAGCAAACAGGAUUAGAUACCCUGGUAGUCCACGCCCUAAACGAUGUCAACUAGCUGUUGGGGCCUUCGGGCCUGGUAGCGCAGCUGACCACAGGAAGUUGACCGCCUGGGAGUACGGUCGCAAGAUUAAAACUCAAAGAAUUGACGGGGACCUGCACAAGCGGUGGAUGAUGUGGAUUAACGAUGCAACGCGAAAACCUACCACCCUUGACAUGUCUGGAAUCCCGAAGAGAUUUGGGAGUGCUCGCAAGAGGAACUGGAACACAGGUGCUGCAUGGCUGUCGUCAGCUCGUGUCGAGAUGCUAAAGCCAAGUCCCGCAACGAGCGCAAACCUUGUCAUUAGUUGCUACGAAAGGGCACUCUAAUGAGACUGCCGGUGACAAACCGGAGGAAGGUGGGGAUGACGUCAAGUCCUCAUGGUUCUUAUGGGCAGGGCUUCACACAUCAUACAAUGGUCGGGAUGGGUCGCCAUCCCGCGAGGGGGAGCCAAUCCUGAAACCCGAUCGUAGUCCGGAUCGCAGGUUCACAACCGACUGCGUGAAGUCGGAAUCGCUAGUAAUCGCGGAUCAGCAUGUCGCGGUGAAUACGUUCCGGGUCUUGGUACACACCGCCCGUCACACCAUGGAGGUUUACCAGGUAGCAGUUAGGUCAACUGCAAGGAGGCGAUUACCACGGUAGGAUUCAUGACUGGUGAAGUCGCAACAAGGUAA
rnacentral:rRNA from 1 species